rnacentral:rRNA from 1 species
GGAUGCGAUCAUACCAGCACUAAAGCACCGGAUCCCAUCAGAACUCCGAAGUUAAGCGUGCUUGGGCGAGAGUAGUACUAGGAUGGGUGACCUCUUGGGAAGUCCUCGUGUUGCAUNNN